rnacentral:rRNA from 1 species
GAUGAACGCUAGCGGCAGGCUUAACACAUGCAAGUCGAGGGGUAUAGUUCUUCGGAACUAGAGACCGGCGCACGGGUGCGUAACGCGUAUGCAAUCUACCUUUUGCAGAGGGAUAGCCCAGAGAAAUUUGGAUUAAUACCUCAUAGUAUGUGAGAAUGGCAUCAUUUUCACAUUAAAGUCACAACGGCAAAAGAUGAGCAUGCGUCCCAUUAGCUAGUUGGUAAGGUAACGGCUUACCAAGGCAACGAUGGGUAGGGGUCCUGAGAGGGAGAUCCCCCACACUGGUACUGAGACACGGACCAGACUCCUACGGGAGGCAGCAGUGAGGAAUAUUGGACAAUGGGCGCAAGCCUGAUCCAGCCAUGCCGCGUGCAGGAUGACGGUCCUAUGGAUUGUAAACUGCUUUUUGUACAGGAAGAAACACUGGUUCGUGAACCAGCUUGACGGUACUGUAAGAAUAAGGAUCGGCUAACUCCGUGCCAGCAGCCG